AUCGCCCUUGUUUUUUAUCAGUUGUAAAAUAAAUGUGCAAAAUAUUUUAUUUUUCACCAGUGCUUUUGUUCAGCAAAGCAUCGAUUCUGAUAACAGUCCAAUUAAGAGGUGUUUUGGGUACAGAGGACCUGUAAAAAAAAAAACCCUACUCACCAGGGGAGAGAAGCUUGGGAAACCCGUGUCUCGGGGCAGGAGUUAAAGUAGUAUCUGAGACCUGAGUUUGUAGUGCAGUAUGCAGUAAACAAACUUGGUGGCAAUUUUGUUUGCAAAAAGAUUUCACGAAGGUUUUCAGCAGUCCUCUGCAUUGCUGUGUCGCUUCUGGAGAUGCUGGACUCAUUCUGAGGAGCUUCUUCAGGCUAUUUAGGGCUCCCAGCAAAGGCCACCACUGCGUAAGACUCUGGAGGUGGGUUGGGCAAAUGUGGUACAACUACAGGAUUUUUUUUUAGCCUGGCCAUCGCCUGAUGCAAGCUGAGGGCCGGGUGUUUUGUGCAGCUUUUGGAAAGCUGGGAGGGGCAGCGUGCUCCUGAACCUGGCCUCGAGGAAGAGCAGGGUUUGGAGCAGGAAGGAGCGAAGGGGAGCAGGUCUACCUUUCUCUUCCACCUUGCAGUAAAUCGCUCUGCUUUUCUACUCUGAACUGUGGCUUCCUUCCAUCUCUGGCUUGGCUCCUGGCAUCCUGGAGUUGGGGAGCAGGUGCUAGUUGUGUCCCUCCUCCUCCCCCCAGUUUCCCUUGAUUUCUCAUUCCCGAAAUAUCUCCCUUUUAUGCUUGAGAGACAGCGGAGCUGCUGCUUGGCCACAUGGCCAGGCACACAGGGUGGGGAGUAUUUUGCUGCCUCCAUAAGGCAUCAAUUACCGUUGGGAAGAAUAACCUAUUUCUGCUAGCGGUGGUAUGGCAGAAAUCUCCGACAGCUGGGUUCAUUCACAUGUUCAAAAGCAGAGAUGGGGGAGAGAUUUCCUGCUGUUCUCUGGGAUGUGCUGGGUUAUGGCGCUUUGAAACUCCAAGCUGAGGCUUUCAGAGUGGCAAAUACCUCGCUGAGGUAUUACUGGGGGUGAUUCAGCUGCGUGGGAAGGAGGGUGGAAAGUUCAGCACCUCUUGCUGCUCCUUGCUGCACACGCUGUGCUGCUUUCUGACAGUGCCCGCUGGGCGCAAACCUAGGUCUGGUGAGGCAGGAGGGAUUUUCAGCUGGCUUCCUGAAGUUAGCCAAAUAACCUGCCCCCUUCCAAAGCAAACAAAACCCCUGCUGCUCUGUAACAGUGGAAUUGCAAGAAACUAAGCCAAAAAUCUCAGGCACUUAAAUAAGCAGUGAAAAGACAAGUUCCUUCCUUUCAUCUUGUUUACCUCUUGGUUCCUGCUCUGCCAGGGGCUCUGUCCCUUUCUCCCUCAUCUCAAAGUCUUGGUGAAAAGCUGAAAACAAAAUGUACCUGUGUAUGUUCACCUCACCCAGUGGUCUCUGCCUGCUCCUUGUCCUCCUGAUGCUGCUGUCACAGUUGCGUGGUUGGAAACCUGCUCUCCUUUAACACCGAGCUCACAGGGAUUAUAAAGCAGGGUGAGGAGCUUAAGGAUUUGUCUCUUCCAAGAGUGUUUCCUGGCAGCUGGACAUGCACGGGGAGGAGGGAUGCCCCGUGGCUUCGUUUAAGGGGCUUUCUCCUCUUCCUGCCUGCAAGAUGUGUGCGAAACACUUCCACGGCUGCAGGGCCGAGCGGUGAGAGGUAUUUCUGGGCCUUGCUUUGCUUUUUGCUUGCAGAGUUGCCUUUGGCUGUAGGACACAAGGAGGCACAGUCAGCAUGCCCGAGUGCUAGCUGGUGUAGGAGGCUUCCUCGCCUCUUGGCAGCAGUGCAGGGUUCAGGUGAAGUUCCUCCUCCAGCUCCACCUGGCUUGCUCGGAGGUCCCCGGAGGUGUCCCUGGGAUGUGGACGUGGUACCAACGUCCUCCUCAGCCCCUGUUCUCUGUACAUGCUAGGCUGGUAGCAGGCAGUGGUUUGGGGGUUGGUUUUGUUUGUUUAGCUUUGGGGUUUUGUUUGUUUUGUAUUGAAAACCCAAAUGACAAAACAAACAAACAGAACUGAAGUCUUUACACCUUUCACUUCUGCAGAAGUUUCCUUGCCCCCCAGGGAUUACCUGUCAGCCAACAAUGUGCCUUUACAAAAAGAAUCAUACUUUGUUCUCGAAUCUUAACUUAUAAACACCUGCUUAUGUUCUCUCUCUUAAUUUUAUUAAUUGAUUAAAUUCAGCUAUUACGUUCCUCUCUGCUAAUCUAAAACAAAUUUCUCCAUCUGGGCAGAAAAACAUCUUUUCUUAAAUAUUAGCGUUAUGACUGACUUUCUGCCAGCCCUGUUUAAUUUUCCCUUUGUUCAGGGGAACUAAGAGUUCAAUUAUUAUGUUUGCACAUCGGAGUGCAAGGUACAUGGCUCAUUUAUUCUGAAACUUCUGAUAAGCACUUGUAAAACCAUUCAAGCAUUGGUUUGUGCAUUACCAGUCACUACAAAUCGUGCUGAAUUUCCCUGGGGAAGGGAAGAGGGAAGUGUUUCACCUGUUCCUGCACAGCAAGUGUUGUGAAACGUUGCUCCUGGAAUGGGACAAAAACGUGCUGGAACUCCUGUCGCUGCCGCAUCGCUGAUGAUUUCACACCCUGUCGAGGCACAGAGUGGUUUCACGGAGCCAUCUACCUCCCUCCCCUCCCUGCUGCCUGUGUCUGUAUUGCCUGACUUCUGUGUGCUGUACCCUGUCUGCUCGGUAGCGCUGUUUGCUUUUCUGUUGCCAGUUUCACGUUGCACACUAAUCAUAAGGAGUUUCUUUUUUAAAAGAAAAAAGAAACUCUGCUCGUGGGGCCCCGCAGGUCACCCAGCUGCGAGCACCCUGCGGUUUCCCCGUCGCCUUGGCUGCAGAGCAUCGCUCUGGCAGGAUGCAGGAGGCACCGCCACCCCGCAGGGCUCAGUACGGGUUUUCCUGGUACAGGUCUCAGCCUUGCGGUGCCUCCCCAGUCAAAGAAUCAGAACAGCUUGGUUUGGAAGGGACCUUAAAGUUCAUCCAGUUCCAACCCCAUCAGACGUGGAAGAGCACAGACCCGGGCUAUGCGGUGCUGCUGUGACUUGUCAAACUGGCCUAGGAGCUUUUCUCUGUGCUGCAGAGGCUUCCUCAGCACGGGGGCCAGCCCCAAAACCACGAGGUGCUGCAUAUUUGGGAGCUGGGCACGCAGCUUGGGCUGUUGGCCUGCAGCUGAGGAAAAUGCCAUCAAAAGCUUGUGUCUGGUGGGGCCAAAGUGUUCGCGAGGGGCUGUGGGUGUGCAAGCAUGGCUGCUGCUUCCUCUGCCUGGCCUGGCUGCGGCGCAACUCCAGACCUUCAGCUCCAACCCCUGCAUCAACCAGAAACACGAAGUCGAAACUUGCGCUGCUUCUCUUCCCAGCUAAUUAGCAAGCAAACAGCCCUCGGGGGGAUGCUAAAAUAGAGCUGCCUGGCCCGAGCGAAGCCCCAGGACAAACCCUUGCGCAACAUCUAGAGGAGUCUUUCCAAAACUGGCAAGGAGGAUGAUUGUUUGGGUGUGCAGUAGGAAAGGAGGUUCACCUCGCUCUGGUGCUCCAUCGAUCUGAGCAGCCUGCGAAAGGCAGGGCCGGCGGCGUUAGCUGCCAGGGUGGUGUCAGUGCAGAGCGCUCCCCUUGCACCCCCGCGCCCAUCCCUGGCACUCGAGGUGCAGAGGGACGGGCUGAGCUGUGAUGAAGGCAGGAGACCGGUUUCCAGCACGCCAGGGAGCAUGUUUACGGGGCUGAGGUGAUGCUGCCGGAGCUCGGAGGCCUCCUUACAGUUGUCCUGGAUGUCCCAGCUGCUCCCAGUUCGCACCAAAGUAACCUUUGGCUCUGUUGGGGCAAUUAAGAGUGACAAGACAGCAAGAUGUGGACCUUGCCUGGCCUGUCCCAGCCAGCUGAGCAUCGUGUGCUAGCUGGUUUUCUUGUAGUUGAAACCCACAAGCUGACACAACACAUCGUCCUGUGCUCUUCGUAGAAGCUGUAGGUCAAACAGCAAAGCCUGGGGGACACGGGACUCUGAGAGGAGUUCAGGCACCAGUUCUGUGCUGAAGAACACAGCAAUGACUUCAAGGGAGCAGGGAAGAGUGCUGUGACAACAAAAUGCAUUCCUUUUACUUUAAGCUCUGCCCCUUGUCUCUUCCCUUCCCCUCCCAGGUUCCAGGAUUUCAGCUAGCUGUAUUUGGGAUUGCAACGCAGGAUGUCUUGGUUGCAUUCCUGUCACACCAAGCCGACAUAAAAGAUGGGAAUUGGUUAAAAUAAUACCAAAGUUUGGCUCAUAUGUGCCUCCUUAUUUCUGCUUACAGUGAAGCUGCCUCUGGUUUUCAGCUGCAUCUCCUAAAAUCUGCAGGACCCAGCUCACCAAGGUACCAGGUCAGGACUUGUGCCUGAGGACAAGGUCCAGAGCGGUGACCUCUGCGUGCUGGCUGGGUGCAGGAAAGAGCAGCAGAAGUGCAAUUUCUAUUUAUUUUGAAUUGUUUACUGGAACAGAAAUAAAGCUCAAGAAUGCUCCUACGUUAAAAGUAAAUUUGCAAGUCUUUUCUCUGUGUUUUCUGUAGUUGUAUAUUUUAAUCCAGUUGAUUGUGUUAUAAGUCUUUUAUGCUGUUAAUUCGCACAGUAGUAGAUUCUGCUCUGUUAUGAAGCACUUCUGGCUUUAACACGAUAAUAAAUCUGGGUUUAAAACAAA